CAGCAGCGGUAAUAAGAAGGGGGCUAGCGUUGUUCGGAAUUACUGGGCGUAAAGCGCACGUAGGCGGAUCGAUCAGUUAGGGGUGAAAUCCCAGGGCUCAACCCUGGAACUGCCUCUAAUACUGUCGAUCUGGAGUUCGAGAGAGGUGAGUGGAAUUCCGAGUGUAGAGGUGAAAUUCGUAGAUAUUCGGAGGAACACCAGUGGCGAAGGCGGCUCACUGGCUCGAUACUGACGCUGAGGUGCGAAAGCGUGGGGAGCAAAC
rnacentral:rRNA from 1 species